rnacentral:ncRNA from 1 species
UCGACGCACUAGGGGUGUAUAUUUACUGAGAUGAGGAAAUCCUCAAACCCUUCGAACCUGAUCUAGCUAGAUACUAGCGUAGGAAAGUGUAGUUAACUAUAG